GAUGAACGCUGGCGGCGUGCCUAAUACAUGCAAGUCGAGCGAACAGACGAGGAGCUUGCUCCUCUGACGUUAGCGGCGGACGGGUGAGUAACACGUGGAUAACCUACCUAUAAGACUGGGAUAACUUCGGGAAACCGGAGCUAAUACCAGAUAAUAUAUUGAACCGCAUGGUUCAAUAGUGAAAGACGGUUUUGCUGUCACUUAUAGAUGGAUCCGCGCCGCAUUAGCUAGUUGGUAAGGUAACGGCUUACCAAGGCGACGAUGCGUAGCCGACCUGAGAGGGUGAUCGGCCACACUGGAACUGAGACACGGUCCAGACUCCUACGGGAGGCAGCAAUAGGGAAUCUUCCGCAAUGGGCGAAAGCCUGACGGAGCAACGCCGCGUGAGUGAUGAAGGUCUUCGGAUCGUAAAACUCUGUUAUUAGGGAAGAACAAAUGUGUAAGUAACUAUGCACGUCUUGACGGUACCUAAUCAGAAAGCCACGGCUAACUACGUG
rnacentral:rRNA from 1 species